rnacentral:rRNA from 1 species
CCUACGGGGGGCUGCAGUGGGGAAUAUUGCACAAUGGGCGCAGGCCUGAUGCAGCCAUGCCGCGUGUGUGAAGAAGGCCUUCGGGUUGUAAAGCACUUUCAGCGGGGAGGAAGGCGGUGAGGUUAAUAACCUCAUCGAUUGACGUUACCCGCAGAAGAAGCACCGGCUAACUCCGUGCCAGCAGCCGCGGUAAUACGGAGGGUGCAAGCGUUAAUCGGAAUUACUGGGCGUAAAGCGCACGCAGGCGGUCUGUCAAGUCGGAUGUGAAAUCCCCGGGCUCAACCUGGGAACUGCAUUCGAAACUGGCAGGCUAGAGUCUUGUAGAGGGGGGUAGAAUUCCAGGUGUAGCGGUGAAAUGCGUAGAGAUCUGGAGGAAUACCGGUGGCGAAGGCGGCCCCCUGGACAAAGACUGACGCUCAGGUGCGAAAGCGUGGGGAGCAAACAGGAUUAGAUACCCCUGUAGUC